rfam:Arabidopsis thaliana chromosome 4, complete sequence.
CUGUUUGAAAUGGAGAAUAGUUUCGAAGCCAUCAUCUCUUUCAUCAGGAGCAACAUAAGGGAGACGGCCGAGUUAAAGAAGCAAGGGACGUUUCGUAUUUCCGUUGACGAUGCUGACAU